GCCUCCUGACUUUGUUUCUAUGUGGCUAAAAAAAAAACAGUCAGCUGCUUCCUUACGUGAACCACCGUACUGGUGGGUGUUUUCUCUUUCACGUAGCGGAUCUAGUCCUGAGACACUGCUUCUCCUGAAAAAUCACAGUAUCUAGGGAGCCCAGAGCCUAGCCGCCAGCCCUGCCGUUCACUUCCAGGACAAUUUCGCCGCCCUGGCAGGGACCUUAUUCCGGAGCAGUCACGCCUCGCUCCCCCGCCGCCUGGCACAACCCACCCUCUGUCUCCGGGUGACAUCUCCUGCCUGUGGCCACUCCUCCUGCUCGGCACGGCACUUUCCGGGCUGCUCCACACGGCUCCUCUCCACGGCGGGCUGGUCUCUUGCCUCCGGAUUCCUCCACAUCCGGGCACUCCUGCUGGGCUGCCACCAGCUGGACUGAGUCGCAGCCGAGGCCAGACGGGGUGCAGCUCCCCGACCUCCCAGCUGGGCCCCUCACCAGGCUCAUGCGGGUGGCCGAUGCCAUCGCACUUGCAAGCCUGUCUCCCCGCAGAUGAAGGGACCGAGGACAGCCCAGCUCCUCCGCGCCCUCUGCGCUGGCUGGUGUCCCCUCACAGGGCAGGAGGGAGGCAGGUGCUCAGGGCCUCUCUUCCCCCCCAUCACGUCACACACUGAGAGCUGUGUGAUAGAUGGGGAUUUGAGUCUCUGUUCAAUGCCAUUAACGGAUGGCACAAGAAGUGGCAGCUUUAGGGCAGUUCCAAAAUGUUUUCUUUCAUUAUUUUUAUGAUCCGGGAACCGCCCCACACAAGAGAGCUGGAAUCCUCUGGUCUUGAUCCUCGGGAGGAAACUGUGACAGGAGAGGGGCAGGCGUCCUCCCCGCUUUCCAAACGAGACCGGGCUCCGCUGGACUGCGGAAUGGCCCAGAGUCCCCAGCAGGGCCCGGCCCACCCCGUGCUGCUCCGAGGGUCUGUCGCACAGAACAGCGGGAAACGAGCAUUCAAUCGUCGUCGUCUUCAAGGAUCUCGGGGCGCCCAUGGUGGGAAACACGGACCGUGGCCGCGAAUGCAGGAGUGCAGAGCGUGACUGCGGGGGAAGAGCUGUCCGUUGCAGGGCAUGAAGGAAGGCUUCCUGGAGGAGGUGCCCUUGGAGCUGGUCCGGAAGUUGGGGGGAGGGGUUCCGCAGGGUAUUCUGGAAUGAAGAAGGAGCUUAAGCCAGAGCAAGCGCCGACUCCUACUGAGAAAGGACUGUGGGAGAGAAACUGGGGGGCAAGAAAAUCCUGGGGAACAGGGGCAGUGAAGCAGCUCCUGGGCUCAUGCACGCGGCUCUCAGAGGGCGCACCUUUCACCCGCUCCUGGUUCAGAGAAGAUUCAGACCCGCGGAUGCUCACCUGCCGGGGGAGCCAGCGGUGAGCCCGGCUCAGCAUUGCCUUUCUCCUCAGGACCCAGGACCCAGCCAUGACCAGGCCUGGAGGCCUCCAUGGGCAGCGGGUGGUCAGCAGAGCGCCUCCUGUGGCCUCUGGAGUGGCCCGGGCCUCCUCAUGGUGGUGGCCGGAGCCAACAGCAGUGUCCCAGGAGGGCUGGGUGGGGAGUCCCUGGGCCUGGUGGCAGUGCAGCCGGACUCAGGGACGGAGCACAGACCACCUCUUCAUGUCAGAAGCUGCGCGUCCAAGAUUUUGGAAGACACCGAGGUUGCACGCCCGGGCUGCACGCACGCGGCUCUCAGGUGUUGCUGAGUCCCUGUGCGCUGCUGUCAGUGUGGACAGGGUGCCUUGUGUCUCCUGGCCUUUGCUGACCGUGUGAACACGUACAGGUGAGGCUGGGCUGCUCCUUUGGCGCCGCAAGGACGGCAGAGGCCGCGGGACUGGGGGUGACCGCUAUUCCGGAUGUUGCUCCAGAAGGUGGGGGAUGGGGCACAGGUGAGCCCCCAGGAGCGGGGCUCUGGGAAGCACCCUGAUCAGAGCAGGAGGCCCAAGUCCUGCCUGCUGCUGGUGGUGGGCACGUCCUGGAGCCCUGGAGGCCUGGGGCCCUCGUCAGCUCUAAGAUGCUCAGUGUUUCCUGAGCGACGCGGGUCCUUGGCCCCAGAGGUACCCACGUGCUCGCGUUUGGGUCUGUUAGACCCUGGGGGCGUCACGAAGCGGGGUCCUGGGCACAGGCGGGGAAAUCGAGGCUCUCCUGGCCCCUUGCUGGGGCGCCACCCUGAGGCGGGAGGAGGGUGUUGGGAGAGUCCCCCAGGCACCAGACCCGGCGUGGGGUGAACAGACAUCAACCCGGCAACCUCACUGGACCCCUGAGCCGGAGGAAGCUGCAUCCCAGUGAAUUGAUUCACAGGGAGGAAGAGGCGUGUGCGGGGCACUCACCUCCUCCCGCCUCGCACGCGCCCUCCCGGCCCCAGAGCAGCGGAUCCACAGCCCAGAGACGUGUGGCAGGAUGGGGAGGGCGUUUCUCCCUGGGGCGGGGGCACAGGGCAGGUAAGUGCGCCCCCCACCACCUUAGGGCUUUCCACCAGAACCUGUGACCGUGGCUGCCUCAGGACUGGCUCUACAUCAGGGCCGUGGCGGGUGGACGGCUGUGCCCUGCUUUUUCUCUCUUCUUCCCCAAGAUAUGUUUGGCAACUGCGUCUGAGGCCUCCAGCUGCACCUGGGCACAGCGUGUCCCCGUGGACACCAGAGGUUGCCAGAUAAGCAUGGGGUGAGCUCGGAUCCGCACCAGCUGACACGAAACCUCCCUUGACACGGCCAAGUUACGUCACCCGGACCAGCAGGUGCCCCCAGACAGCACGGGGCCUGGGAGGGACUCCGCCUCUGCUGGCACCUCCGCUCCGUGGCCCUGCUUUCCUGCUUCCCCGAGGUUCCCUGCAAGAUUCUGCUGGAAGACGCAGUUCUAAGAGGGGAGGGGUGCAAACCACCCGGCUGCCACCCAGUCACACUGCUGGACGGGAGAGGACGCGGCUCAGAGAGGGGACAGCGUUGCUCAGGGUCCCCGCCCGUCUGCACAUACCCAAGAGGCACCCCCCACCCCAGCUCAACUCCUUCCAUCUGACCGACUCUGACCUGGCUGCGGGCACCCUGGCUGCGGGCAGACUGCACCUGGCAGAGUUGUCUCCCAGAGAGACCAGCAGGGUGUCCAUUGUCUGUAGGGGCCCCAUCCUUCCCCCAGGCCCCCUGUCCAGUCUUUCCAGAACCCAGGACUCUGGGUUCCUGAUUCGCUCCUCCCCCAGGUGCCAAGCUGGGACAGUGGUAACAGCCGCGCCCCCAGCACGGGGCCUGACUUCCCAAAUCUCUGAGCGAGCGGCUCAGACACACCUGUGUGAGCUCCCGGUCCCCUUUCCUGGCCUUGGGGGAAGGGGGUCCUCAAACGAGUGGGAGGAAGGAAGGGAGGGAGGGUGGGGGUGGGGACAGUCAGAAGGCUCAUGGGGCAGACGCCUGCUCCUUCCAGGCUGGGAAACUGAGGCCCAAGAACCCACCACCACGCUCCAGGACGUGCGCAAGAAGCCGCCUCCGACACCUCUGCCUCCUUGCCCCCAACCCAGGCUGUUUGGGGUCAGCAGGGGAGGUGGGCUCCAAGUGGGCUUGAGGCCCCAGAGCUUCGCCCACCUCCGCAGCUGCCUGGACCCUCGGGAAAGAUGGCCCCCACCUCUCCUGCAGUUGGGAAAUUCAACUCCAGGCACAGGUCGCAGGUCGUGCCAGACCCUGCAGCCCCCCGCCUGAGUCCUGGUCUUGGCUGGCGUCAUGGUCACCACCCUGAAAGGCCUGAUGCUGCCUGACCUGGCACCACCCAGCCGCCCUGGGAGCAGAUCUUACAGCCUCGCACUCAACAGGGCUGGCGGUGGGGGGCCGCUGCCGUCAGGGUCCGGCAGGAGUCAGGGCGCUCACAGGAGGGUGUGUGAGGCUGACUGGUGACACACCAGAGGAAACAUGCCCCAGGGCUGGCACCACCCCGGGCCUGAAAGGCAAGAGGAAGGGGCAGACCCUGGAGCCCAGGAAGAGCAGUCACACAGCCCACCUGGCAGGGAGAGGCCCCCCACUCCCUCCUCCUGCUGGUCAAAGCCGGAGGGCACCCAGAGCAGGGGGCUCCCAGCAGGCCAGCCCUGGGGGCCCGGGAGGGGCAGCAGCCGGCUGUCACCUGCUCCUGGCUCUGGGGGUCCUUUAACUUCACUGCCUGCUGGAGCAGGUGGCUUUGCCCAGCUGCCAAGGCCCUGGCUUGACCUUCUCUACCCCCUCUCCUUCUCCCCCUCAAGCUCCUGUUUGGAAUCUGAAAAGGUAACUGGAAGGCAGCUGCUGCCAAAUUGCCCCCUGGGCUCAGAGAGGGGAGGAAGCUGUGAGGCUGAGCUCUCACCCGCCACUGAGCGACAGAGCAGGCAGGGGCUGCAAACACCCCCCAGGCCCCCUGGACCCGGCUUCCACUGCCGCCCCCACCAAUGCACCUGAGGCUGAGUGCGGAUACAGGACGUCCAUUUGCCCAGGAGGCGACUUGAGAAACCGCCCAGGCGGCCUUGGCCGCGGUCACGCCGGUCCAGUCACAGCGCCGAAGCCAGAGGCCCCGAAAGAAGGAACGGCCAAGCUGGACUUCAGCAAAAUCAAACCUGGGCCGAAGACCACGGGAGGACAGAGGUGGGCUCAGCCGGAGGGAGGUGUGCACGGAACACACGGGACCAAGUUCUUUUUCUCAGUGCGACUGGGCGGCUGUAAGAGCAGCGUCACUGGGCGGCUUCCGACGGCAGGGCCUCAUGGCUCACGGGCCGGAGGCUGGAAAUCUGAGGUCGAGGGCCAUGCGGCCGCGUGAAAUCGGGGCCACAGGCCUCUCCCUGUGCCCUCCCGCCCUGGAAGCGCCGGGGAGCGGGCUGGGGUCUCUGUCAGAAGCACCCGAUCACCAUGAGGGCCCCACCACCGUGACCUCAGCAUCCCCCCUCUGCUGCCAUCACCUUAAAGUCAGGGCUCGACAUAUGAAUUGUGGGGGGAGAGGGGGCCAUGGAAACAGCCAGACCAUAACAAACUCUUAUGCAAAACA
ensembl:lncRNA